AUUGAACGCUGGCGGCAUGCCUUACACAUGCAAGUCGAACGGUAACAGGCCGCAAGGUGCUGACGUGUGGCGAACGGGUGAGUAAUGCAUCGGAACGUGCCCAGUCGUGGGGGAUAACUGCUCGAAAGAGCAGCUAAUACCGCAUACGACCUGAGGGUGAAAGCGGGGGACCGUAAGGCCUCGCGCGAUUGGAGCGGCCGAUGUCAGAUUAGCUAGUUGGUGGGGUAAAGGCCUACCAAGGCAACGAUCUGUAGUUGGUCUGAGAGGACGACCAGCCACACUGGGACUGAGAAACGGACCAGACUCCUACGGGAGGAAGCCGUGGGGAAUUUUGGACAAUGGGCGCAAGCCUGAUCCAGCAAUGCCGCGUGCAGGAAGAAGGCCUCCGGGUUGUAAACUGCUUUUGUCAGGGAAGAAAUCUUCUGGGCUAAUACCCCGGGAGGAUGACGGUACCUGAAGAAUAAGCACCGGCUAACUACGUGCCAGCCGCCGCGGUAAUAC
rnacentral:rRNA from 1 species